UGCUGGUCACGACUUGUUCAGAAAAUGGGCCGUGACAGGAGUCAUUUGUAUGAAGGAAAGAGAAAACGAGAUUAGGUUUUGAGGGGAUAAAUGAGAAUAAGUUAAUGAUCCAUCCCUUAAUUAGUGAUUUCUUAAUUAAUGAAUCUUUUAAAAUAUGUAGGCAAUAAAAGGUAUGGGAUUUUAAAAUAUGCCACAAUUGUAAAUGAUUUUGCUUUUUUUGGAAUAAAGCAAAAGUAAUACUAUUUAUAUUAAUAACUCUUUAAAAAAGAUCUAUCACGUAAAAAACUCAAAAUUAAAAGUGUUGUCCAUGGGGCAAGUGAAGAAAUACUUGUUGAACCUGAAGUUCUACCCAUAGAACAAGCAGAGACAAAAAUUCAAGACCACUUUAGGGCUAUUUGUGUACUUCACCCCCUUUACGGGGCCAUUUCUAUCAAUCAUGAGUAAUAUUGGCCCAAUUAUCAAUGGAAUUGGACUGAAGCCCAAAAGACAGAGGGUUCAUCUCAACCGUCCAAGCAUACCUCUCGGAGGCCGUCAGAUCUAGGGCAAUUUCUGAAGAUCGGUGGAUCCAGAAUUUUGGGAAGAUCGGUGCACUACUACAAAGAGAUCCCUCACUUGAGACCAGCUGAGUACAAGAGAUCUAGAUUAUCUAGGAACCGGAGGACCGUGAAUCGAGCCUAUGGUGGUGUAUUGUCUGGAGGAGCAGUGAGAGAGAGGGUUAUUCGAUCUUUCUUGGUGGAAGAGCAGAAAAUUGUGAAGAAGGUUUUGAAGAUUCAAAGAGCCAAAGAAAAGGUGGCACUUAAAAAUUGUGAGGUGUUUGGGAAUUGUUUGCUUUAGUUGCUUAUAUUAUGAAUCAAAAUGAUUAUUUUUACUGUUAUUAUCUCAUUCUAGAUAGGUCUAGUUUUUCACUUGUCAUAAUUCCUCUAAAAUAUAGGAUUGCAAUUUUAC